rnacentral:rRNA from 1 species
UACGUAGGGGGCUAGCGUUGUCCGGAAUCAUUGGGCGUAAAGAGCGUGUAGGCGGUCCGGUAAGUCCGCUGUGAAAGUCGGGGGCUCAACCCUCGAAUGCCGGUGGAUACUGUCGAGCUCGAGUCCGGAAGAGGCGAGUGGAAUUCCUGGUGUAGCGGUGAAAUGCGCAGAUAUCAGGAGGAACACCAAUGGCGAAGGCAGCUCGCUGGGACGUGACUGACGCUGAGACGCGAAAGCGUGGGGAGCAAACAGG